CAAAUGCCAACCAACCAAUUUUAUCCACUCUUGGUGUGAGAAGGGAAGGGCGUGGGCUUCUUUGUGCGUGGAGAGUUUACACGAGAAACCUUUUCUCGUAUGGAGGAAGUGGCACACAAAAGAAAGGGAUGGCAUAGGGAUUUGUUAACCAUUCAAAUUCAAACAUUCUUUGAAUUUGAAUAGCCAACCAACCUUAUCAUUAUCCAUUCAAAAUGGAGCACAAAGAAGGGGCGUGGGAAGGCUUCUGCAUGGGAGAAAAUUCAUGAGAACUUGUUUCUCAUGAAUUCAAAUGGGUGCAGGUG
rnacentral:lncRNA from 1 species